UAGAUGAUGUUCCAAUAAGAGUGUUCAAGAACAGCAAAGAUUUAGGAGUGAAAUUUCCAUUUGACCAACCAAUGAAGAUAUACAACAGUUUAUGGAACGCAGAUGAUUGGGCAACAAGAGGUGGAUUAGAGAAAACAGAUUGGUCAAAAGCACCAUUCAUAGCAGGUUACAAAAGCUUCCACAUUGAUGGAUGUGAGGCUUCCGUUAAUGCAAAAUUCUGUGCAACACAAGGUAAAAGAUGGUGGGAUCAAGUUGAGUUUCGUGACCUUGAUGCUGCUCAAUGGCGUAGAUUAAAAUGGGUGCGAGAGAAAUUUACCAUUUACAAUUACUGCAAUGAUAGAAAACGUUUACCUCAAAUUCCUCCUGAAUGCAAAAGAGACCGUGACAUUUAAAUUUUAUCAUAUGAUAUUGUAUUUGUAUUAUUUGCUCUCUCAUUAUUAUAUGCAUUCAACACCAAUGUCACGUUGUUGUCAAGAUAUAAGACAAUUCCAUAUCUCAUUGUAUCGUAGUAUGAUUAUUUAUUGCCACUAUUGUUCCAUUUUGAGUACUGUAAAUUUUAUUAUAUUAUCACUCUUCACAUUUUAUGAUAUUAAAAAUGAAAAAUUAUUAUGAAUGCUUUAAUUAUGGCAAGUGCUAGAGAAGCAGUUGUAAA
rnacentral:lncRNA from 1 species